AGCGAACGCUGGCGGCAGGCCUAACACAUGCAAGUCGAACGAACUCUUCGGAGUUAGUGGCGGACGGGUGAGUAACACGUGGGAACGUGCCCUUUGGUACGGAAUAACUCAGGGAAACUUGAGCUAAUACCGUAUGUGCCCUUCGGGGGAAAGAUUUAUCGCCAUUGGAGCGGCCCGCGUCUAAUUAGCUAGUUGGUGAGGUAAAGGCUCACCAAGGCUACGAUCAGUAGCUGGUCUGAGAGGAUGAUCAGCCACAUUGGGACUGAGACACGGCCCAAACUCCUACGGGAGGCAGCAGUGGGGAAUCUUGCGCAAUGGGCGAAAGCCUGACGCAGCCAUGCCGCGUGAAUGAUGAAGGUCUUAGGAUUGUAAAAUUCUUUCACCGGGGACGAUAAUGACGGUACCCGGAGAAGAAGCCCCGGCUAACUUCGUG
rnacentral:rRNA from 1 species